rnacentral:rRNA from 1 species
UCGACGAGACCUUCGGGUCUAGUGGCGCACGGGUGCGUAACGCGUGGGAAUCUGCCCUUGGGUUCGGGAUAACAGUUGGAAACGACUGCUAAUACCGGAUGAUGACUUCGGUCCAAAGAUUUAUCGCCCAGGGAUGAGCCCGCGUCGGAUUGGCUAGUUGGUGAGGUAAAAGCUCACCAAGGCGACGAUCCGUAGCUGGUCUGAGAGGAUGAUCAGCCACACUGGGACUGAGACACGGCCCAAACUCCUACGGGAGGCAGCAGUGGGGAAUAUUGGACAAUGGGCGAAAGCCUGAUCCAGCAAUGCCGCGUGAGUGAUGAAGGCCUUAGGGUUGUAAAGCUCUUUUACCCGGGAUGAUAAUGACAGUACCGGGAGAAUAAGCCCCGGCUAACUCCGUGCCAGCAGCCGCGGUAAUACGGAGGGGGCUAGCGUUGUUCGGAAUUACUGGGCGUAAAGCGCACGUAGGCGGCUUUGUAAGUUAGAGGUGAAAGCCCGGGGCUCAACUCCGGAACUGCCUUUAAGACUGCAUCGCUAGAACGUC